GCAGACGGGAAAGUCUUGGCCGUGUUGCUGGGGGGGGGAAAUCAUCUGCAGAUCAGAGAAGGUAUGAGGAGCUGGGUCUUCUCCGCUCAGUUGAGGCUGAGGGCUCUUUCGAGAUUACAGAUUGUACAGAAACAUCUGAUGUCUACAAAUGCCAAUCUGGAAAAGGAAGUGAUCUUGACAAAGUCUGGAUCUGCUGGAAUAAUCACAUUAAAUCGGCCAAAGGCCCUUAACGCUCUGAACCUUUCCAUGAUCAGACAGAUCUAUCCCCAG